CAAAUCAUAAUUAUGCAUAUUCUAAAAUAGGUAUGUUAAAUCAUAUGGUACUUUAAAUAAAUUCAAUCUACCUAUUUAAUCUUAUGCAUGUCACACAUUGCCUUAAAACAACUUUUUGAAAUAAUCAUUUAUGCACUACUAUUGUCUGUUUUUAAACUAGAACUCAGUAGGUAUUUAUGAAGAGAAUAAUUUUGCAUUUUUUCUAAAAGCUGUAGAUCUUUUCAUAAAAACAUCUUAUGGUUAGUUUAAUUCAUAUUACACUUAAUUUACUAUGCAUCAAAUGGCUUUGCAUUACCUUCAAUGAAUGCUAAGCAAGGCUAAUGGAAAUUCAGUUUUGACUGAUAUGUUAGCAAAAUUAGGCUACAUGCAAAAUUUUGGUGGUCAGUUAGCACUAAUGAUAUUUUUUAUCAACAAAGAAAAUCCCCCCCCCCCCAAAUGUAUACAGACACUAUAACAUUUUGUCAAUUGUAUACCUGCAAUCUGCUUUAUCUAUUUUAAAUUAAAUAUUAUAUUAAAUAGUUUACCUAUCGUCCUUAUUAAGGACAAAAAUUUAAUUCAAAUUAGUUAAUUUGUAUCAAUUUUUUUUUGAAUGCAGUAUAAUUUGCAUAAUUUUUACUUAAUAUUAAUUUGAUAAGAAAUAAAUUUUUCAUGCACAUUCAUGUGAACAUGACAAAAGGAAUCAAAAUUGUGUGAAUGGACUGUGAUCUGAUGAUUACAAAGAAAUAUUUAUUUUGUUAAGUUUUACAAAUGAAUUCCUUUUAUCCUGAAACAAGCAUUCCUAUUUGUAUUGUUUUCGUUAAUUAUUUAUUAUCUUUAUUUAAGUAAAAAAAGAAUCCAGAAGGAUGAUUCCAACAUCUAUCUCUGAUAUUUUAUUAAUAUCAUUAUGUAUUAUCAGUUAUGUGUGUGUGUUUUUAAAUUUUUGGAGAGUUUGUUAUUUGUAUAAAGAAGGAGGAAGAAUUCAUGUUAUGGCCCCGAGGUUAAAAAACUUUUAGUCAUUGUCAGAUCUGCUCAGAGAUGUUUUUUUCUUUUUGAUGAAUAUGUAAUUGUUACAAUUUUUUUGUUACAGAAAUAUUUGUAUGCAUAAUUAAAUAGACACAAGUUAUCCAUUUAUCCAUGAGUCUAAAUACUGUAUACAGGUAAAUUUUGGCCCCCUUUUAUUUUUGCCUCUUUCUCCCUGCUCUCAUUUGGGCGAAUUUUAAAUGGGGCGAAUUCAAAGUAUAUAGUAUAAUUUCUUAAAUAAAUCUAUGACUUGGCAAAUUUAAAACCAGGCAAAAUUGUCUGCAAGUGUGAAAGGGCUAAAAUAAUACGGGGCAAAAAUUCCCCUGUAUUAUUGCAGUAUCUGAAAAUUCAUAACAAGUCCCAUAACUCAGAAAUCCAGUUAAACAUAUCUGUUGAUAUGAUUUAUUAUAUGAUAUUAUACACUAAACUAUACAUAAAUAUUUUGCAAUUUAAUUACCAGUAGCAAUUUUUUACGCAGGGUAUAUUUUUUUGGUAUGCUCUGGCUUUGUUGUUAUCUUUUUGCAAUACCAAUUUUAUAUUGAUCCAUGCAUUCCUUUCCUAGAUCUGUUUCUUUUCUUUUUGUUUUUCAAGUCAUGCAGAGUUUUGUACAUUAAAAAUUGUGACAUUUUUUAAUUUUUAGCUCUACUGAUACAUGUAUGUUUAAAUUAACACUUUUGUGUAAUGCAGUCAUAUGAAUAUCAGAUAAACUUUAGAUUACUCAUUCAAUUUAUUUCACGUGGCUUUAUUUUUGCAAGGUUUUUUCAUUGCUUUCAUUCUAAAUUUGUUUCAUUAUUAACUUAAGAAAUAAUGAAGUUAAUUUUUGCAAUUAUGUGACAAAAUUUAAAUUUGGAAAUGUCUUCCCAUAUGUAACCAUAUUUAACAUGUAUAAUGCAAGGUGCAAUUUGUGGCAUCACCACAAAUUCAGUGGUCAAGCUUGUUUCACAUGUGUUCAACUAAUAUUCAAAUGAGUUCUGGAUAAUAAAAUAUGUGUAUGAGUAAAA